CUAAGACAGUAUCUAAUUGGUCAAGACAACAUUUGAGGUGUGGCCGAAAGGCCAGUUUAAAUACUCAGGACACCAUCAAAAUUAGGCUUUUAGUUUUAGCUCUUAGCUUUUAGCCAUGCUUUUUUUCAUUACAUUUUGCGUUCUUUGAGCUAUGUUCCAGCGUGCUUGGACCUGCACGUCUGCUGCUACUUAGCCACGAUGAGAAGAAACACCACUUAAGCUGUGUUCCAAAGUUGAGUGUGCACACUUCGAAGGCCAAGGACUUCGAAAACCAGGCCUCCGAAGUGCGUGAGAUGCUCCGCCUUUGCAGGAUUUCCUAAUUUCGCCACCAGGUGUUUCCAAUUACUGCUCUGUUAGAUAGCAACGGUGCGAGAGGAGAGCUGACGAGAGGACAAUCCUGCCAGUAUAGGUGGAGCCAGAAUUGCUAAUUUUUGUUUUUAGGUUUUACGUCUUAAUGGAGGAGACGUGAUGUACCUCAGGCUUAGCCAAUACCGAGGCCAGGUAAACUACACUGGUUUGCUGCGUCCUUUGUCAGAUUACAACUUUAAAUGCAGACCAGACCCCUGUACUGCAGGAUAAAGCUGAAUGUGGCAGCGCUGGACAGGUUUUUAAUGGUUUUGUUCUGAGCAGCGAGGCCCUGAAAGUGCUGCUUGAUCUUCAGAGCAGUGCCACAAUCCAGACCCUGGUGUUUUUCUUCUGUCUGCCAGUGGUACAUCAUACAGAGUGGUCUCCAGAGUGUUUGACAUGUGCCUCGUUCCACUGUCCACCACACUGUCCUCCGAGUCGCUGAGGAGGUGCUGGUCAUUCACCAAGAGAUUGACCUCCUGAAGACCCCAGAACACAUGGAGGCAGGGCUGGGCGUAAACUGAUGUUGUUUUUCUGAUGUUAAACCUAAGCUAUGUUGUAAAUGGUUAUAAAAAGUACUUUCAGUUAUAGCUCGACUAUGCCACCCAAUGAAAGAGCUGGGUCUCUAUUAAAUAAAAUAACCUUAUCUUUUACUUGCA
ensembl:lncRNA